AGGAUAAAUAAAUAAACUCCUAUUAAUUUUGAUAUCCCUACAUGUAAGAACCAAAAAACUAUGACUUUGACUAAGAAGGAGAAAAUGAUCAAACUAACUUUCUCUUAGUGCAGGUAGAAGUCCAGCAGCAACAAGCCCAGAAUAAUCAGAAUUCCAUGUUUGCCAGAGGAAAGACGACAGGUCACACUAUUAGUCUUUGUGUGAUUGUACCCUGGAAAAUUUUGGCCACUGCCGGUUGGGGGACUGUUACUGCUCGGUGUAGAAGGGUUGCUUUGGACCAUGAUCAAAACUUUCUGUCCAGCUUGGCAGUUGCCUGGGAAGCUACAAAUGAAGUGAAAAUUUCCGAAGGCCGGAAGCAAAUUCAAUCGCUUCCACUGUUGAAGCUGGAAAGUGGUGUUGAGCAGUGCCGGCCCUCACUUGCCUUGGGCCUCAAAUUGUAGGGGGCCUCAUCUGUUAUAAAAAAAUAAUAAUAAUAAUAAAUAAAUAAAAUUGGCACAAGAAAACGAACCACCUUUCUCCAUAAAUUAUUUUUAUUCCGUUUUAAUCGUCUUCGUCUUCUCCACCACAAGGCAAAAGGUAGAAUAAAUCCCUAAAAUUAAAACUACCAUCUACCAUGACAAGUCCGACUGCAAAAAUUCGGCGACAUUGGCAGACGGCACAGCAGGUUGGGCUUCUUCUUCACUUUUAUAAUUUGAGUAACUUAGUUUGUAGGUUUCCAGUCUGGCAGUCCCGAUUAGAGAUUCCAUCCUUGCUUGCUUUCAAUGCUUUGCCUUUGGCUCUUUGAGUAAUGAUUUCUAUCUUCUGAUUUCUCAUUUUUGGUUCCAUAAUUAAACUUAUUAUCUUCUCAUUUUUGGUUCCGUAAUUAAAGUUAUAAUGUUCCAUAAUUAAACUGGUUCCAGACUUCACCAUGGCAUUGAAUAGAUUAAACUUAUUAAAGGUAAUUUCAAGUUUUCGUGAAUCAAUAAAUGGGAUUGGAUGUUUUCUAAUUUGAGUUUGUCAGUAACUUAUUAAUGUUUUGGAAAUGAGAUUCUAAUUUUGGUGAUAUGUUGAUUCUAUUGCCACUGAUUCACACAAAAAGCAUUUACAAGUGAUUGGGACAAGGAUUUGAAAAGCUUAUGAGCAAUUUGUGUUUUGAUUCUUUGCAACAGCCAACAGUCGUAUUGUCUACUUCAAUCACCAUCGCAACCACCAAUUUCUGAAUCCUUUCAUUUUGGGACUCAUCAAUCAGGUUUUAUCGCUCUUUACUUGUCAGUACGUCUACGCGAAAAUUUGAAUCUGGAUGUGCCAAAAGAAAAAGGAAAGAAAAGAUUGAAAAGUUGAUUAAAUCUCAAGAGGGAGCACUUAAUAAGUUUUUUAGUAAUAGUAAACGAACACACAACGAUGAUGCAGUUAUUGAAGAAGUAUUAAAUGAGAAUGACAACAAUAAUAAUACAAUUGAAGAAGGACAUUGUGUGAUGAAUGAAGAUGUAUCUACUGACAAAGAUAAUGAACCAUUUUCUCUUGACCUUGUUGAUCUAGCAAAUUGGGGAAAUAUGAAUACGAAUUUAAGAGAUUUAAUUGUAAUAAUGGUCAUGUAAGAGAAAAUGAUAUGAUUUUUCCAGAAGAUGGAGCGAAUCAACACUUCUCAUCCAUACAUUACGUUCAACGAUUACAUAAUAGAGAGAAGCAUGCUAGAAAAUGGUUGAUAUAUUCAAAAAGUUUGGAUAAAGUAUUUUACUUUUGUUGUAAGCUAUUCAAGAAUGAUGAGAUCAGAACUCAAUUGGCACAUGAUGGAGUAAAUGACAGGAAAAAUAUUGGUGAAAAACUUAAAAUGCAUGAAGUAAAUUGUGACCACAUCAAUAACAUGAGUAAAUGGAUAGAAAUGGAAUUAAGAUUUGAAAAGAGAAAAACAAUUGACAAAAGUGUGCAAGAACAAA